CUUGCGGCCACACCACGUUGAAAUACAGGUUACCGUACGAUCACUGAAGUUAAGCAACGUCGAACCUGGUUAGUACCUAGACGGGUGAUCUCUUGGUAAUA